CCCCUCCCCUCCAGUCCACUCACCAACUGACAGCCUCCGACCGACAUCAAAGCUCCUCUCCUCCUAGCCGUCCGGCUUCCCUACUCCCCUUUCAUCUGCGCCGAGAGAGGGAUGUCUGUUUUCUAACUCCUCUCCCUCCACUGGUAUCCACUACAUUAUCUACUACAUUGCCCAAGACCAGUACCCCCCCCCAUCUCUGCCUCAACCUCCACCCCAGCCUCCACCCCAGCCUCGACCCCGACCUCAGCCAUGGAGGACUAUGACGUGCGCUCGGCCGCCAGCAUCAUGGCGUCCGUGAAGGAGCAGGAGGCUCGCUUUGAGCGCCUGACCCGCGCCCUGGAGGAGGAGCGACGCAACGUCUCGCUGCAGCUGGAGCGCGCCAACCUGCCCGCCGAUAGGCUGGCCGGCCCCCACGCCCCGCCCACCAGCCAACCGUUGGCUUGGCAGCAGGUGGUGA